rnacentral:rRNA from 1 species
CGGUGGAUGAUGUGGUUAAUUCGAUGCAACGCGAAAACCUUACCCACCUUUGACAUGGCAGGAAUCCCGAAGAGAUUUGGGAGUGCUCGAAAGAGAACCUGCACACAGGUGCUGCAUGGCUGUCGUCAGCUCGUGUCGUGAGAUGUUGGGUUAAGUCCCGCAACGAGCGCAACCCUUGCCAUUAGUUGCUACGAAAGGGCACUCUAAUGGGACUGCCGGUGACAAACCGGAGGAAGGUGGGGAUGACGUCAAGUCCUCAUGGCCCUUAUAGGUGGGGCUACACACGUCAUACAAUGGCCGGUACAGAGGGUAGCCAACCCGCGAGGGGGAGCCAAUCCCACAAAGCCGGUCGUAGUCCGGAUCGCAGUCUGCAACUCGACUGCGUGAAGUCGGAAUCGCUAGUAAUCGCGGAUCAGCAUGUCGCGGUGAAUACGUUCCCGGGUCUU